UACAUAGGGGGCAAGCGUUAUCCGGAAUUAUUGGGCGUAAAGCGUGCGUAGGUGGUCAGUAAAGUCUGACGUGAAAUACCCUGGCUUAACCAGGGGGGGUCGUUGGAAACUGGCUGACUUGAAUCCAGAAGGGGUAAGUGGAAUUCCAUGUGUAGCGGUAAAAUGCAUAGAGAUAUGGAGGAACACCAGUGGCGAAGGCGGCUUACUGGUCUGGAAUUGACACUGAGGCACGAAAGCGUGGGUAGCAAACAGGAUUAGAUACCCUGGUAGUCCACGCCGUAAACGAUGAGCACUAAGUGUCGGACGAAAGUUCGGUGCUGUAGUUAACGCAUUAAGUGCUCCGCCUGGGGAGUACGGUCGCAAGACUGAAACUCAAAGGAAUUGACGGGGACUCGCACAAGCGGUGGAGCAUGUGGUUUAAUUCGACGCAACGCGAAAAACCUUACCAGGCCUUGACAUCCCUUUGACGGGUGUAGAAAUACGCCUUUUCCCUUCGGGGGACAGAGGAGACAGGUGGUGCAUGGUU
rnacentral:rRNA from 1 species